rnacentral:rRNA from 1 species
CCAGCCGCCGCGGUAAUACGUAGGUGGCAAGCGUUGUCCGGAUUUACUGGGCGUAAAGCGAACGCAGGCGGAUACUUAAGUAGAGAGUGAAAGGCGGGAGCUCAACUCCUGGACUGCUCCCUAUACUGGGUGUCUUGAGUGGCGGAGAGGAAGAUGGAACAAAUCGUGUAGCAGUGAAAUGCGUAGAUAUGAUUUGGAACACCAAUGGCGAAAGCAAUCUUCUGGACGCAAACUGACGCUGAGGUUCGAAAGCCAUGGUAGCGAACAGGAUUAGAUACCCUGGUAGUCAUGGCCAUAAACGAUGUUCACUAGGUGUCGGGGCUUCGCCUCGGUGCCGCAGCUAACGCAUUAAGUGAACCGCCUGGGAACUACGGCCGCAAGGUUGAAACUCAAAGGAAUUGGCGGGGGCCCGCACAAGCGGUGGAGCAUAUGGCUUAAUUCGAUGCAACGCGAAGAACCUUACCAAGGUUUGACAUGGAUCUGCAAGCGGUAGAAAUAUCGUCGCCUUCGAGGGUGAUCCACAGGUGAUGCAUGGCUGUCGUCAGCUCGUGUUGUGAAAUGUUGGGUUAAGUCCCGCAACGAGCGCAACCCUCAUGUUCUGUUGCCAGCGGGUAAUGCCGGGAACUCGGAACAAACUGCCUCUGUAAAGAGGAGGAAGGUGGGGAUGACGUCAAGUCAUCAUGCCCCUUACAUCUUGGGCUGCACAUAUGCUACAAUGGCCGGUACAAAGAGUUGCUAACCCGCGAGGGUGUGCUAAUCUCAAAAAGCCGGUCUCAGUUCGGAUUGGAGUCUGCAACUCGACUCCAUGAAGUUGGAAUCGCUAGUAACCGCAGGUCAGCAAUACUGCGGUGAAUACGUUCCCGGGCCUUGCACACACCGCCCGUCACAUGACGGAAGUUGGUUCUACCCGAAGCCGCCGCGCUAACCGUAAGGAGGCAGGCGUCGAAGGUAGAGUCAGUAACUGGCGUGAAGUCGUAACAAGGUAACCAA